rnacentral:tRNA from 1 species
GGUUGUGACUCAGUGGUAGAGUGCUCACCUAGCAUGUAUGAGGCCCUGGGUUCUAUCCUCAGCAACACA